rnacentral:lncRNA from 1 species
CAAGUCAGUAUCAAACCUUAUUUGUAAUGUAAUGUCAAGAACCAAGAUCUCUCUUAAACUCUCAAAAAAGAAUCGCAUAAAGUAAUUGUAUUGAAUAAUUGAUAAUUUAUCUACAAUAUGGAAAAAGAGAUGCUUUAUAUACUCUAGAGCAUUCUAACCUAAAUAAAAAAUAAUAAUAAUAAUAACUAAAAGUCUAAAUAAAGACCUAUGACCUUUGCCACUUCCCACUACUAUGUAUGGAUCCAUGAUUUAUGCCACUACCCACUACUAUGCAUGGAUCCAUGAUCU